UCCUGGUUUGAGAAGUAGCUGGUCCGUGACA
rnacentral:piRNA from 1 species